GACGAACCGUGCGAACGUUAUUCGGAAUCACUGGGCUUAAAGCGCGCGUAGGCGGUCCGAUCAGUCCGCUGUAAAAGUCCAGGGCUCAACCCUGGAAAGCCGGUGGAUACUGUCGGGCUAGAGUCCGGAAGGGGCGAGUGGAAUUCCUGGUGUAGCGGUGAAAUGCGCAGAUAUCGGGAAGAACACCCGUGGCGAAGGCGGCUCUCUGGGACGGUACUGACGCUGAGACGCGAAAGCGUGGGGAGCGAACAGG
rnacentral:rRNA from 1 species